CACUUUCCAUAGAGUGUCGUUUCGCCUCAUCCCCCUCUCCCCCUCCCGCUCCGGCGCACGCCCUCUCCUCCCCCUUGCAACUUUUCCAUUCCCCCUCCCUCGCCCACAAGAACGAGGAAGAAGCUCUCGCAUCAGGCACACUCCUUCUGCCGCGUCUCACUCUUCUUCGCUAUCUCUUUGAGUGUUGUGUUGUGUCUUUUCGUUCUCCCUCUCUCGUUGCCGGCUAGCUGGGGGAGGGCAGCAGCGCGCGACACGUAGUGUAGUUCCUGAGAGAAGGGAAAAUCACCGACGACAAAAAGGAAAGUUGUAGGACAAGCGCCCGUGACGUAGCCGUCGCUCGCGCAGCUUAUUUGUCUGCUCUUCCUUGUUGUUCUAGGGCCCUGUUCAUAUUUUUUCUAUUUUGUUUGUGUUUUCCUACCGGCGAGUUGCUUCAAGUGUUUGCAUCAACCCCGCCUUUCUGAAUCUGCUUCUCGCCGAGAGUGCGUGUGCCACGCACUUCUUGUUGGUGUUGACGCUGUUCUCUCGCUCUCCGAUUCUAGAGCGUCUUUCAAGACAAUAUUGCCGUGCAGGGAAACGAAAAAGAACGGCACAGCGCAGGGCCGGCGUUCACGGCGGACGCACGUACACAUCCGCUGCAGGCGCCUCGUUUUUUUUUCUCACGGUGCAUCUCGGUGUCCCUCACCCCUUUCUUUUUUCCACUUCUUUCUGUAUGCGCUACCCUUCUUCCAGCCCGCCGCUCAGCUGCCAAGCAACUCUCUCUCUCUCUAUCUCCCUCUCCAUUUGUCAUAAAGCCUGCGUAGAAGCCCCUCCCUCGCCUCUUUCACUCACACGCACAUAAACACACGCAGAGACAGCGGGGCCCACGGCCAGUGAGCUCAGGGAGCCGACGUGACGCCUUUGUCUGCUCUUGAAACGCGUGCCCCGCCGCCGUUCCUCCUCGCAGGAUCUUCUCUUCAUUUUUCUCUCCGUUUCUCAUUCAUCAGCGCUAUCAAGGCAGUCGUCACCGCCUGACCAACAUCGCCGCCACCCUCUUCACCUACUCUGCCCCCCUCUGCGUCCCUAGAGCCUUCGCCUCCUUUUUUGUGUUCUCGUCUUUUCGCCCGUGCUUCGGCUUUGCUUUCGCAUUUGCACACACCACAAUCCCUCGUUCACGUAACCCCUUUCCUUUUUUUUCUUUUUCACACCCCCCUGGGGUGCGUGACACACAAUGGCAUCCCGCAGGAACCGAUCGCCGUCCUCGAAGAACAAGGAGUCGCCGUGCAAAAGCCAGCACUCUCAGUGCCAGCAGCAGGAAAGCCACAGCACUGAACACCAGGGAACCCAAACACGGUCUGACCCUGACAUGAAGGAGGCUGCGCAUCUGCUCCGCACAGGUAGCGGCGUGCACCACUCUGAAAGCGGGGAGCGCAGCCAGUCGCUGACGGAGAGGUACCAGCACCGGGUGGAGCAGGCGUCGUCGGUGUGGCUGAGCGGCAUCCUGAACGGCCACAGCUAUGCGCCGCGACCCAAGAAGGUGGAUGAGGCGGAGCUGAGCGACACCGCCAAGGAGGAGCUGCUGAAGGAGCGAACGUACACGAUUCCUCGUGGAUACAAGUACUACGCAGAUGGCCUGCCACCGGUGCUGAACCCGGUGCCGCAGAACGGCUUCCGAACAGCCCUCAUCAUCCACAUGAUCUUCUUUGGUAUCGCCUUUGUCUUCACGCUGGCGGCUGCCUGCCCCAUCCCGUGGUACCGUGGCAGGAACGUCGAUGUGUGCGGGGUAAACUACAAAGACCGUUUGUUUUCUCUGUGGAUGGCGGAGGGUGGCAAGUACCCGGAUAUUUGGGUGCACGCAAUGAAGCACUGCCCCUUGGAAAAACAGUUCUACCAGACCAUUGCCGUUUCUACCAUUCUGGGCUGCGUGCUCUCCUUCCUCUCACUUCUUGUCUCUGGCGCGCGUCUCUCCGGUCGUGCUUCCUACGGCUGGAUCUUACUCUUCAGUUUCCUUGCCUUCGCCUGGACGCUCUGCGGCAAUGCAAUGUCGAUCAGCAUGUAUUACUCCUCGCGCUGCAAUGCGCCGCGGCUUUCAAACACGGCCCGCCUCGACGCCGGCUUCGCGCUGUCACUGCUGGCGUGGGUCUUCCAGCUGGGCGGCCUCCUAGCCGUUGCUCUAGUAACGAAGCUGAACGUUGGCCCGGUGCUAAAGCAGCUGCGUGUGAUGGACACGUACUACAUGGCGCUGCUGUGCGUGUCGCUCCUGUUCCUGUGCGUGGCAAACGCGGGCACUGUGUGGAAACGCAGGUUCAACACGCGUGACGUGAGCGUGGUGCGUGUGACGUACUGGCACACAGAGCUAAUUAUGCCGAACGGCACCAACCUCUACUAUGGUCUCUGGCACUAUCGCUGCAGUGCCUAUAGCAAGCGCAUGAAGGCGAGUGUCUCGUUUCUCAUCCUAUCCAGUAUCGCGCUAUUUAUGGCGACUAUGCUGGCGAUCCCGGCCUUCCUCGCGCGCGGCUGCCGCAUCGCCUCUAUCGUCUUCUCCGUCAUUACGCUUGUGUUCUUAGUCAUUUCCUGGGUGACUGCCGUCGCUGUGCGGCACCGUAACUCUUGCACCGGGGCCGUUAAUGGCACCAUGUACCAGUACUACCCAGGUGUGCCCUCCGGCAUUUACAACGGACUGACGAACUUUCCGGGCUACGGUGUGCAGGAGGGGCUCGUCUUGUCUAUUGUCGCGUGGGUCAUUGUACUUGGCGCCACGGUCCUCAACCUUCGAGUGUCGUGGUUGUAGAUGAAUGUUGUAGAGCAGCAGUAGGAAGAUGUGAAGAGGGUUCAAAGAGAGCAAACGAAGAAGAGCCGUGACAGAGAACCGACGAGAAGAGGCAAUCGUGACGGAGUCAAGACGUGCCGAUGACGGGAGAAGUGUAGAGGCGGCACUGGUGGAGCAAGCGGAACAGCCAACCAGCUCACACAGACAUGGACGGGGUCCAUAUGUGUGUCUCCGAGGGACGUAGGAUGGCCACCGCGGUUUGUUCGUGGGAUGUAUGGACGAGGUGCAGCUUUCGCGGCAGUCCGCACCUCCGCUCUUCACGGCUCUUUCUCCUCCUCCUUCAGCUCGUUUGCUGCCUUAAAUCAGCAGCAGCACCUCCUCAGCUCAUCCUCGUCUGACCGGCGGUCCAUCACGACCCACUGAUGGUGCUCUGCCGCGUAAGGAAGGACGAGACGCGGCGCACGUACGAAGACGAACAACAAAGAACGACAUCGGCACUUCCGCGCGCGCGUUUGUGGCAUCGAGACGGCUUCGUCUGCAUGGCAGUGGGUUGUUCUAGGGAGCAAGUCGGAGUGGCGGGCGACACUCGCACUCGGUAAACGCGACAGCGCCUUUCAUGCAAUGCUCUUCCCUGUUGCCGCUUCUGUGCGAGGGCGGCGACGGCCCCUCCGUUCGCCGGCAGAAAGACCUGCCGUUUUUUAUUCUUCUCGUGUUUCGGUGAAUAGUGUUGCAUUCGAACUGGUUUGCAGCAUAUGUAGACCGGGGUGCCGCGCAGAGGCAUCUCACCAUCUACUGCGCCGUCGCCCUCGUCAUCCUUCAUUGGUUGGCGUCCAGAAAGGGCCGGGAAGGUGGUGCCUGCUCGCAGAUGCUCUUGCUUCGAUUCGUUGGCCAGCGUCGCACACGGGCCUGCAAACACGCACAGCUACACCUUCACGAUAAAAACAGAAAAAGUAGCAAAGGCUGCUAUCUUCUCCGUGCCGACGCCGUCAUGCAGGCGGUGCAUCAGCGACUGCAUCCUCAUAUCUGUCCCACGCCCCCAGCCCCUCCCCCCGCCCCUCCACGUCUUCUUGGUUUCGAUUCGACCUUCGCAUCAUUCUAGUAUGCGGAGCUGCUCAUGUGCGCUCGCAACACCCGUGGGGAGCUUUUUUUUGGGGGGGGGACUUGUCUACAUCGUAAUGGCGGUUGAUCUUCCGCAGUUGGUGCGUGCGAUCCGAGAUGAACCCUUGCUACCCCGCGCUGCUGAAGUCUUUCUUUUUGUAUUAUGCGUGCCCACCCCGCCCCUCUCCGAUUUCUCGGUCUCCUUCCAGCGUCGAGUAUUUUGGCCCCAUGUGGUCGAGCUUUGUUUUUUUUUUGGCGUAUCUGCGCGCUGCUGACUAUGGCCCCUUUAGCCCCCGCCUCCGUCUCUUCCAUGCCAUGACGUCCUUUUUAGCUUCUUAUGACCCCCCCCGUUCUGCUCGUCGCCGUCUAAUUUCAGGUGCCUGAGUCCAUCUCCUGCUUGAUUCACCUCUCACUUCUACACCCCAAACCUCCCUUCCUGUAUGCGCCCUCCGCCCUCCCCCCACUGCCACCACCACUGUCCUCAUCCUUUCGACGCGAUCCUGAAGUGUCCCUGAUAGCAUUAUUGCUCUUUUUCUAUGAUUACUACUACUAUUGUGUUGGCUUGCUUUGUUUGCUCACGUCGUCCUCAUGCAGGUGCGAGGUCCUUCCCUCCUCCUUCUUUCCUCCGUUUCGUUGUGUUUUGGCUUGCUUCUCCCUCCCCCACUCGUGUUCGCCUCUGUUUUCUGUCUUGUUUUGGUCGCGUGUUCUUUCUGUGUUGCUGCGGUUGUCGUUGCUGUUUUUUUUUUUUAUUGUCCAUCCUGUUUUGACCAUCAUCUAUAAGUGUGUAUGUAUGCGUGUGUGCGCGCGCGAUUUCGUAUCAAUUACGCCUUCUCGUUUGCGGAGACUGUGUCUUUCCUUUUUGUCGAACUUUUCCCUGUUGUAACUCAUCCGACCUUCGCCGUCUUCAUUGUUGUUGCUGCUAGAUAUGCACCUGGUGCUGAUCUUCGCUGUGUGGUCGUGGUGGUUUUGUUGUUUGCUCAGGCGCGUUGCUCGGCAGCCUCAGCGUUCCGGUUUCUUGCGAUGAGGUGAUGGCGCGCAACUCCUUGACACCACCAUUCUCUGUGAAAGGUGGGGUAUGGAUAUGGCGUAUGCUCACUGCUUUCUCUUUUUGAUCUUCUCUAAACCGUCACGUCCUCAUUAGAUUUUGUCCUUACGAUUAUAAUCGAAGCCUGCGCGGCAUUUUUCUCAAUCUCUCCAUGAAAUAUCACCAUCACUGGACGUGCGUACACACAGGCCAACGAUACGCUUAUAGAGACACUUGCCGCCACAGACUUGAACCGCGGUGCCUCUGCGUGUGCGUAUGCGUGUGUAUGCGGCUUUUUUUUUGCUUGAAAAUCCACGUGCGCACGAACUCCAACGAAAAUUAACCGGAAAAACACAAAGUAGAGAGCAAGACGAAGAUACGGCCGAGUAGAAGAGCCACUGAUCGUUUUUGCCUGUUAGCUUGUCUGUUUUGCCACGCUCUCCUCUGCCCCCCUCCUCCCCUACCUCCGUUGUCAUGCGCACGUACACACGCGUAGACAAAUCGACACACACGCGCCUCUUUUCAUUUUUCUCUUUCGCUUCCUUUCCACUUCACUCCGCCCCCUCCCUCCCUUUUUUUUUAACUUUUUAUUUGGACGCCCCUGUGUACUGGCUGGAUGUCUGCAUCGUGGCCAUCAUCGUUCUGUUCUGCAUUGAGUCUGCAUCGUUGCUCUCUUUUCCUUAUGUCAUUUGGAUGAUGUUAUUGGUUGAAUGUAGCGCACCAGCUUCUUCUUGGUUUCGCUGUUGUUGCCGGCUUUAUCUGUGUGCGCGUGUGCGUGUUUUGCGCGCCAGAGUAUAUGAUCUCCAUCGCUGCCCUCGUCUCCCUGCUUUUUUUUCCGGUUCCGUUUCUUGUGCUCUUCUUCAUGUGAGCCAGAGGCGAGCGGCGACAGCUGCCCAGCGUAAUGGCGCCACCCUCUGUACAUAGGAAGGGCUCUUUGUUUUGUUAUGCAGGGCCGCGUCUCUCUCUCUCUCUCGCCCCCCCCCCCCUGGAGCGUGUGUGGGAUCGUGGUCUCUUCUUCGACUCCAUCAAGCGCUUUUCAGUUUGCGUCAUUGUUGUCGGUGUCAGCGAGAGAGCGCAGGCACACAUGGGGAGUCAGCGCGCCAGAAUGGAGAUUCCAUAGGCAUAGUUUCUCGUGUUCUGUGAAACCAGUUCAUCCGCAGCGCGCUCCCCUAGGGUAGCGAGACACUUUUCCGCCAGCCAAAGAAAACCUUAAAGGCGCUCCGGAAGGAUCAUGAGAAAAAAAACGGCGAAACGCGGAGAGCACAACCAUGAGCGAUGCGUGCAGGUAUGCGCCCUCACGCACGCAUCCAUUUCUCGAGAGCGAAAGCGAACAACAAGAACGCAAACAGCGCGACCUGUUUUCUUUGUGCAACACUUAUUUUGUAUCCCACCGCACGAAUGCGUGUGUGUAUGUGCGUGACUGUGUCUGCGUCGCUGAAGACUUUUGUGUAGUGCUCACACCCUCCAACUCGCCCCUCUCGCGCAUUGUGUGGACGGCGUCGCCGUUACCUUGCUCCGCGCCUUUCGCUUCCGCACCCUACGUCACUCCUCACUCGUUGUGCAUGCGCGCAUCGCGCCCAACACACGCGGUGCUCGUUGCGUUGUGGCUGUUAUUGACACGUUCUCUUUUUUCUGGUUUGCGUCUGUUGGGCCACCGCAUGUCUCUAAAGACUUCACUCACCGUUGUGUAUUUUGGGUUUUCUGUUUUUCUUUUCUUCUCCUUCGUUUUACGUGUUUCUGUGUACCGAAGGAUGCCUGUGCCGGUGUGCGUGUUGUAGUGAUGGGUGGAGAGUGUGCGGCGGAUCUCCCUCACCCUCUGUCGCCCUCCAAAUGACGGAUUCAGCGGGCGGAGAGCGCGCACGCACAUGAAGGACGCAAGAGCACGCAUCAAUUAGGGAAGGACGCACUGUGCCAACAGCGAGUAAGCAUGUGGCGCAGGCAUCUGCGUGCGCCCUCUUUCCUUCUUGCGAUGCACUGUGAACUAUGCAGUCAAUCACCGAUCUCGCUUGUUUACUUAGAUUGCGCUUGCCAUCUCGAUGACUAUGCUCCCUCGCUCACCCCAUCUUCUCUCUGAUUCAGGGUAUAUCUCUAUGGGCCGCCCGCGUUUUCCUCUCUGCCACCCUCGCUCCAUAACACGCUGCGUAUGAAGGGUGCAGUUUUGUGAUGGACUCUCGCGUUUGAUGCUGCUGGUACUUCCUCCCCCUUCGUGGGCGUGUUACUCACUUGUGCGUUUUCGUUUUUCCUUGUUUUUUUUUUCGUUUCCGUGGUCUUUCGAGGGUGCUUUCUUGAUACCCCUCGUCUGCUCUCUACACCCCCUUACAUUGUAGAAGUGGCGGCUCUCUUUUUUUUUUUUGCUUUUUUGAUUUACUUCGUCGUUCGUUGGCUUCAUUCUCCUGUCGACGUCUGCCUGCACACGCGAAUGCAUGCAUGCCCGCACCUCGCACUCGGGGCGGAGUACGGCUGAGGGAGCUGAGGCGACCUACUCCACAGAAGGAGAGCUUUCGUGUUGACAAAGUUAGAGGGAGUGGACGGACGAAAAAUGAGGGCGAGAUGGUCAUCAGCGCCGACACGCCCCCUCUCAUUACCUCCCUUCUUCUACCAUGGAUGUCGCUGUGUUUCUUUUUUUUUUCUGCCCUUUUUUCCUUUUGUCGGUGUACGUGCCGCUGUGUCUCGUUGAUGUCCUUGUGUGCACGAGUGGAGUACGUCAGUGUGUGUUCUCUCUCCUGUUUCUGUGUGCAUUUUUGUUUUUGGGCGCGUGCGCGUGUGCGUGCUUCGCCUUUAUUAUAUAGCUCUCUCCAUUUUUCGAUGAUGCUGUUGUUCCUCUCUGUGGCUCUUUUCCGCCUCACCUAUUCAUUGCUUGUUUUCCUCACGUCCUCUUCUUAUUGUUCUCUGUUCGCACUCGGUUGACUUGUCUGUCUCUGUGUCUGUGUGCACCGUCGGCGCGCGUCUUUCAUGCUCUCCUACACACACGCAUAUAUAUAUAUAUGCGUGUAUAUGCCAUGUAUGUACACGUGUACAUGCACACGUGCAUCCGCCGAUGCACGUAAUGUUUUCCCUCGUGAUGAUCAAGGACAAAGAGAUCACUGAAUUUUGGAAAGAAAC
rnacentral:misc_RNA from 1 species